rnacentral:misc_RNA from 1 species
GUGAAUCAUCUAAUUUUUGAACGCAAAUUGCGCUUCCUGGCAUCCCGGGAAGUAUGCCUGUUUGAGGGUCAGUAUUAAUAAAAAAGCGGGUUAGUUACAAAUUUUCACGUUUCCGGAGUUUGUGCUAUUUUAACAUUUUUUGUUAAUAGGCUUAUAAUUGACCUUUUUUACGCAUUUGUAAACGUACAUAAAUUUUUUUUUUCGUCUAUUCUUAAUGCCAAAAUCUUAUUAGAUGCUAUCACAUCGUGUGGCUUCGGUUCCAUAAAAUUUUCAUGAUUUGACCUCAAAUUAUGUAAGAUCA